GACGAACGCUGGCGGCGUGCCUAAUACAUGCAAGUAGGACGCAGUUGCGAACGGGUGAGUAACGCGUAGGUAACUGCCUAUUAGAGGGGGAUAACUAUUGGAAACGAUAGCUAAUACCGCAUACUAGUAGAUGGACCUGCGUUGUAUUAGCUAGUAGGUAGGGUAAUGGCCUACCUAGGCGACGAUACAUAGCCGAACUGAGAGGGGUGUCGGCCACACUGGGACUGAGACACGGCCCAGACUCCUACGGGAGGCAGCAGUAGGGGAUCUUCGGCAAUGGGGGGAACCCUGAACGAGCAACGGCGCGGGAGGGAAGAAGGGUUUCGGAUCGUAAAGCUCUGUUGGUAAGGAAGAGGUACUUAACCAGAAAGGGACGGCUAACUACGUGCCAGCCGCCGCGGUAAUUC
rnacentral:rRNA from 1 species